AUGAACGCUAGCGGCAGGCUUAACACAUGCAAGUCGAGGGGCAGCAUACCCGGCAACGGGUGAUGGCGACCGGCGUAAGGGUGAGUAACGCGUGAGCAACAUACCCGUAUCAGUGGGAUAAUACAGGGAAACUUGUUCUAAUAUCACAUAAUAUUAUUCAGAGGCAUCUUUGGAUAAUUAAAGUUCAGGCGGAUACGGAAUGGCUCGCGUGACAUUAGCUAGAUGGUAGGGUAAAGGCCUACCAUGGCUAUGAUGUCUAGGGGUUCUGAGAGGGAGGUCCCCCACACUGGAACUGAGACACGGUCCAGACUCCUACGGGAGGCAGCAGUGAGGAAUAUUGGACAAUGGAUGAAAAUCUGAUCCAGCCAUGCCGCGUGCAGGAAGGCGGCCCUAUGGGUUGUAAACUGCUUUUGUACGGGAGCAAUAAGGUCUACGAGUAGAUUGAUGAGAGUACUGUACGAAUAAGCAUCGGCUAACUCCGUG
rnacentral:rRNA from 1 species